AUGACACAGACGAACGCCGAUCGAGUCUACCAGAUGGUCUGGAUGACGGGGACGUGCUUGAUCUUGUGGUGGUCCUGGCCGCCGUCCUCCUUGAUCCUCCCCACCAUCUUGGGCAUGCUGUACAGCACCACCUCCUCCAGCUCCUUCAUCCCGCCCAGCGCCUCCGGGAGCAUCUCCAUCUUGGCGCACCGCAGCAGCGUCAGCCGGGCCAGCGCCGCCAUCGACCCGGCGCUCACCGCCCACUCCUCCAGGUCCGGCAGCCCCAGCCUCAGCUUCUGCAGGCUGCGGAACGCGCCGUCCCCGAACUCCAGCCGCUCGCCCUCGUACGCGCCCCACAUCAGCGUUAGCUCCGCCAGGCUCGGCAGCUCGCCCAGCAUGUCCACGAACCCCUGCCCCACCAUCGUGCCCCACAUCGACAGCCGCGUCAGGUUCGGCCGGAUGUACCGGACCGCCACCUCGUCGGCGCCAUCAGCAUCAUCCUCCUCCUCCAUGGCCCCCACCAGCCUCAGGCUCUGCAGCCGCCGCAGGCUCGCGACGGUGAACACGGCCGGCGGCAGCGACUCGCCCUGCAGCACCAGGUGCACCAGCAGGUCCAGGCUCUCCAGCGCCGUCACCAGCGUUCCGGCGUUCGCGGCCGUCAGCCCGCUCAGCUCCAGCGACCGGAGGUUGGUGGCCCUCCCCAGCGGGUUGCCGGCGACGGCGCGCGUGUCCCAGCCGCGCGGCUGCACGCCGUGGAGCGUCUGGAGGCUGUACAGGUCGCCCAGGCACCUGGGCAGCGCGAACGGCGCCACCACGUGCCGCAGCGUCGGGAUCGUCCAGAACGCGGCGGUCACGCCCAGCACGCCGCCGCUCCGGCCCUUGAGGAUCAGCGACUGCAGGUUCACCAGCUUGCUUAUCGUGCUCGGCAGCCUCUCCAGCUGCCCGCACUGGAGGCCCAGGUACCUUAUGUGGAUCAUCGAGCCGAGCUCGUCUGGAAGCUUCUUGAGCUCGAGGCCAUGGAUGUCGAUGACGCGGAGGAACUUGGACGCGUGGAGGAAGCCCAGGUCGGUGGAGUGGAUGCAGACGCUGGGCUUCGCGGCACCGCCGCUGGCGAAGUCGCAGACGAUGGUGCGGAGCUUGGGCAGCGCGUUGCCGAGGUGGACGUGCCUGUCCGUGGUGUUCUGGACGGCGAGGCGGCGCACGGUGGCCGGGGCGAGCACGUCGGUGCUGUCGUGGCUCUCGACGAAGCACGCCUCCUGA
rnacentral:rRNA from 1 species